UACGGGGGGGGGCAAGCGUUGUUCGGAAUUACUGGGCGUAAAGGGCUCGUAGGUGGCCAACUAAGUCACACGUGAAAUCCCUCGGCUUAACCGGGGGAACUGCGUUUGAUACUGGAUGGCUUGAGUUUGGGAGAGGGAUGCGGAAUUCCAGGUGUAGCGGUGAAAUGCGUAGAUAUCUGGAGGAACACCGGUGGCGAAGGCGGCUACCUGGACCAGCAUUGACACUCAAGCACGAAAGCGUGGGGAGCAAACAGGG
rnacentral:rRNA from 1 species